rnacentral:rRNA from 1 species
UACGUAGGGGGCAAGCGUUGUCCGGAUUUAUUGGGCGUAAAGAGCGUGUAGGCGGCUGGGUAGGUCCGUUGUGAAAACUCGAGGCUCAACCUCGAGACGCCGAUGGAAACCCUCCAGCUAGAGUCCGGAAGAGGAGAGUGGAAUUCCUGGUGUAGCAGUGAAAUGCGCAGAUAUCAGGAAGAACACCCGUGGCUAAGGCGGCUCUCUAGUACGGUACUGACGCUGAGACGCGAAAGCGUGGGGAGCGAAUAGG